UAUUUAAUGACAAUUUAUGAAGGUUGAGGGCCUAAAUAGACACUUUAGAAACUUGUUUUUGUUGGACAAAUUCCACUUGAGCCACGUAGCUUUUACUCAAAUCUAUAGAUUAAAGAAAAAAACACACACAAUAUGUGUUCUUCGAUAAGAGAAGCUAAGAAAGGCUCAAUGAAGAUCAUCAAAUUAUAGCCUAGAUUUAAAGAAAACAACCUCUUCAUUUUUGUGGGAGAUCUAAUAAGGAGCAUAAACGAUUUGGGCAUUUCAGUGGUUCGGAAAUCGGAUUUUUCAUCUUCCUUCCCUUCCGCACACUUAUAAAUGCCAAUUCUCCUCAUUUUUUGAUUUUUCAUCUUCCUUCCCUUCCACACACUUUGCAUCAAUCAUCAGGUAUGAGCAGAUUGUACAGGAUGGGAAGCUUUUGGAGGAAGGCAGCAACGAUUACAAACCAUAGACACACAAACCGCUAGACACGGAAAGAUGCACUCAUUCCACACAAAAAAAAUACAUAUUAAUUAGAGACAGAGAGGGGCAUUCUAAAACUCACCACAAGUCCACAACACUACAUAAAACCAAAGACAAAGUAAAGAGAUGCAUAGAUAUGUUCCUAGACAACGAAUACUACUAGGUAUUCCAUGUUUAUUAUUGGAAUAAUAACUUUAUUAUUUACUUCAAGCCUCCCAUAUCAUUGAUAACAACAAUAAAAAACAUAAGAACAAAUUAAAGUGAUGAAAUUGCUAAAGAAGGAAAUUAAGUCAAGAAUCAAACGUACCUUUCGU